UGGGGAAUAUUGGGCAAUGGGCGCAAGCCUGACCCAGCAACGCCGCGUGAAGGAAGAAGGCCCUCGGGUUGUAAACUUCUUUUAUUCGGGACGAAGAAGUGACGGUACCGAAUGAAUAAGCCACGGCUAACUACGUGCCAGCAGCCGCGGUAAUACGUAGGUGGCAAGCGUUAUCCGGAUUUACUGGGUGUAAAGGGCGUGUAGGCGGGACUGCAAGUCAGAUGUGAAAACCAUGGGCUCAACCUAUGGCCUGCAUUUGAAACUGUAGUUCUUGAGUGAUGGAGAGGCAGGCGGAAUUCCGUGUGUAGCGGUGAAAUGCGUAGAUAUACGGAGGAACACCAGUGGCGAAGGCGGCCUGCUGGACAUUAACUGACGCUGAGGCGCGAAAGCGUGGGGAGCAAACAGGAUUAGAUACCC
rnacentral:rRNA from 1 species